UUCUGUUCACAGUUCUGGCAGUGGUUAUUUUGAAGAGUAGCAAAACAGUCCCUGAUGCUGCCCUUCCGGCCUGGAAUUGGCAUUCUCUCUUUAUAAGCAUGACAUUUAAGGCCACACAAAACAGAAAUGCUCUGUGUGCUUUGCUCAUGCUGCUUAAUGCUUUCUCUUCCCCAGGGCCAAGAUGAGCUGCAGCCACCACAAAGGCCACCUCGCCUGGGGAGUUUUGUACUACUUGCAGUGAUUUACAACCUCAAACACAACCACAAGCCUCUGUUUGUAUCUUCUCUAUGGGCUGUAAGUGCUUUCUGGAAAUAGCUUUAAAUGCAUCAUCACUGUGAGCAUUCUUAUUGCUCCAGGCCAGCGGGAUGGAGCAUCAUUGGAAGUUCAGGCUUGUCAGUUUAAGAGCUUGAUUUGAAAAGUCACCAGAAAAAUAAAGAGGUUUGUUGCACUGGUGCUUCAUACACCACUGGACAGUCUUUGUUUUCCACUUGAGGUUCUCAUGAGCGCUGAUAGUUCAACCUUCUAAAUCCAGCCCACCAGAUCACAAAAGCUAUUCAAUGGAUAUUUAUUCUUCCCUUUGUGAGAGCUUGAUCUCCAAACUGCCACAAGCAGUUUCUUAAUUUAUCUGUGAAAACACCAAAGUCCCAGGACAGUUUCAAAUGGAGACUAAUUCUGUUUAGAGAAGAUGUGGCUGACAGCUUAGUCUGCCUGUGCAACCUAAGCAUUGCAAUGCCCACAUAGCCUAUGAGAAGACUUGUCAAAUAGUGUUAGAUUAAAUGAAAUUAAUUAAUUGAAGAACUUUUCUGAUUUGCAAAUCAGUCACCAAAUAUCAGGGGUCUGCUUAAAAGUUUUUCACAGUUCCCUGAUGAUUGUUUGGGUUAUUUUGAAAGUAUUAAUAGCUCCUUCUAAGUGGUGGUGUACAUUGUUAUAGAGUGACAAGUGGGAAGAUGGGGGCAAAAAACCAUUAUCAUUAUCGUCAUCAAAUGCUUUUCAGAUCAGCAGAUCAGUAACAUACCCAUGGAUCAGGCUAUUAUCAGUCUGUAUUUUCUGCCUGCUAGCAACUUCUUUUUUUUUUUUUUUUGACUUCUUUUGAAUUUUAUCAGAAUGAAAAUGUUAUUUUCAGUACUUCAUGAAAUGAAAUGUCAAAAUGUGCACCUUUCAUUUUCAAGUGAAGGUAACCUUAAUACAGCUGUAUGUGUGUGUUUAUUCCUUCAGACCAAACAGCUAUGAUUGCUGAUGCAUGUGGUAGUUUAACCCUCGAGUGUAAAACUAGCUUAACUUAGCAGUUAGAGGCUGCUGUAACUUGGGGCUGUUAGUUACAGCAUCUUCCUUGCAUACACAGUUAUUUCUGCUCACUUUGUGUCAGAGAGAGGUGCAAUGGGCAGGUAACACAGAAACUGGGCUGGUUUUGGGUGCAGAGCCAGCUCAGCCACCUCCUCACUGCUGGAAAAAAGCAUAAAUCACCUCAAAGACACGCUACUUUGUAAUGUGUUAUUGAGCAGCAUUCCUUGCAAUUCAGAAAGCUUCAUCUCCUCUAAAACUCACUAGUAUAGAUUAGUUGGAUCUUAGAGUAAAGCCUUAAUAGCUGCCAGUUAGUAUUUUUCCUACUGGGGAGAUUGAAAAUGAUUCUUCAUUAGAUUUCAGAAAUGCUUUUUGAAAACUUUCCCUUUUCUUGCCUUUCUGCUGGCAUAUCUUGUGUUUCUGCCUUUGAAUUUACAGGUAUUCCCUAUGUCAUUCCACCUGCUGCAUGAAUUCCCUACAGCUACGAGCUUAUGGUUGGUAUUGAGAUGGGCUUCCGUUCUAUUUCUAUUUCUCUUCUGUUUCUUUUUCCAGACUGACUUUCUUUCUGCAAAAUGGACUUGUGCUGUUGGAUACCUAAUCCCCUGUUUGUAAGCAAGUCUUAAUUAUCUACUUCUUUCCUGUUUGCUUUUUGAAAUAAGUAUAAUAAAACCAGUAACCUCUCCAGUACGUGUCUGGACUUCAGUACAUGAUGCUCAUGAGCGUUUUGUCAUCUACACAAGGGUCACCCAGGUGUGUGUCGGGUAUCACCCAGCUCCCCAUCUGGCACGCACCGAGUCAGAUUGUCGAUCCAUGGAUUUCCAGCCUGCUUAGCUAUGAAAGAGCAGAGAUGUGCAAACAGCUGCAACAAUAAUUGAUAUCGCAGGAUGAACAGGACAGGCAACUUGAAAGGGGAAUAAAUGGAAUGUGGCUGAAGAUGCUUCUUUCUGGUCACUUGGGUCAGAACUGGUUGGCAUUCCAAACAUCCAGGCAGAAGCAACACAAGUUCAAUCACAAGAAGACCCAUGAACCAGUGAGUUCAGUUCAAAUAUUCAGACUGUACCUCUAAUAUUUCAGAUUCACAGAAGAAAAUGAAUUAGUGUUCUCCUCUUCAUCAGUGAGUAUCCACAGUAAUUGUAUCCAAGUCAAUAAUCUUAGUUCUCUUUCUCUUUUAUGUCACAGAAAGUGUAAGGCUUUCCCAUUUGAAUGAGGUCCUUUCUGCAGCUUGGAUCAAGAGCAGUCAGUCAGCACCCACUGCAGGGGAGCUGUCACUGGUUUAAACUGGUGACACAAAGGGCUGAAUUCAGUUUCUUAUUGAUGUCAGAUAUUCAGAUGUGCUGCAAGUUGUCUGUCUCCUUCAAAACAGUUGCCUAUCUAUCUCCUUCUUGUCGUUGUCAGAAAGGGUUGCUUACAGAGCACGAACUUCACAAGAUAAAUAAACUCUGCCAG